AGUGAACGCUGGCGGUAGGCCUAACACAUGCAAGUCGAACGGCAGCACAGUAAGAGCUUGCUCUUACGGGUGGCGAGUGGCGGACGGGUGAGGAAUACAUCGGAAUCUACUUUUUCGUGGGGGAUAACGUAGGGAAACUUACGCUAAUACCGCAUACGACCUACGGGUGAAAGCAGGGGAUCUUCGGACCUUGCGCGAUUGAAUGAGCCGAUGUCGGAUUAGCUAGUUGGCGGGGUAACGGCCCACCAAGGCGACGAUCCGUAGGUCGUCCGAGAGGAUGAUUCGGCAGAUGGGCUGAGAGGAAGAUCCCCCACACCGACAGGGAGAAACGGUCGGGAAUAUUACGCGAGGCGGGAGAGCGUAAUCUAGCGAAACCGGGUGAAUCAUGACGGCGUCAUGCUUGUAAAGCCAUGUAGUUGGUAAAAAAGUACAACACGUUAACACCCGGCUAUACUGACGGUACCCAAAGAAUAAGCACCGGCUAACUUCGUG
rnacentral:rRNA from 1 species